GACUUUCUGUUUCCCUUUCAUGGCCUGAGCCCACUUGUGGGCAGAAGGGCUCCUUCCCCAAGGCCGGGAGGCCGGAGACCAGGUCCCGGACGCGGUUCUUUGGGCUCCCACUUAGCCUCCCUUUCUCCCGCGUUGCGCGCCCGCUGCCCGCUGUCACCGCCCACCCGACCCAUUUCGAGGCCACGGACUCGAAAGUUAUUCGAACAGAACAGCCGGCGUGAGCCUGGCAGGCCUUUGGUGCAUUUUCUUUAUUUCAUUUUAUUUUUUCUCUUUUGAGACGGAGUCUCACCCUGUCGCCCAGGCUGGAGUGCAUUGGCUCGAUCUCGACUCACUGCAACCUCCGCCUCCCAGGUUCAAGCCAUCCUUCCGCCUCAGCCUCCCGAGUAGCUGGGAGUACAGGCGUGUGCCAUCAUACCCGGCUAAAUUUUUUGUAUUUAUUUUUAGAUACAGGGGCUCCCCCCUAUGUUGCCCAGGCUGGUCUCGAACUCCUGAGCUCAAGCGAUCCUCUAGCCUCGGCCUCCCACAGUGCGGGGAUUCCAGACAGAGCCACCAGGCCCAGGCCUGGUGUGUUUUCUUAAAGUGACUCCCUUGACCUUCUAGUCUCCGAAUCCCAGAACGGUAACCAGACGUCGUCCACCCCCACUUCCAGCUCUUUCUGGCAUUUUCAGACCCCUACCAGGGCUCUCUGUGAGGGGAAAGAACUGGAGUUGAUGUUCACUUGAGACGUGCUACCAGGGGCAUUUAAUGGCUCACUCGUGCAUUCCACCUGGGCUGUGAUGUGACUUCAGGGACGCUUGGCCGCGCCGGAAUUAGCGAGUGGCAGCAGGAGGGUGAGGUCAUGGUGAAAAUCCCCUACACCGGACACUGUGAUGUAGGCUCUUCCCAACAAGGAAGCAGAUACACAAACACAACGAGGAAUGGGAGCACGCAAAUUUUAGCUUUCCUGCCAGAUUACAGAGGAUAUGACCCGUCCAGGGACUUUUUUUCUGUCCUAACAGCAGAUUCAGGCCAGGACACCUGAAAGGAGGCCAGGAGACAAGCCACAAGUGACAGCUGUGGGUUGGCAGAGAAACUGCUUAACCGGGACCCCCGAGAGCCGACCUCUUCAUUCUUAGUAUUUAGUUUCAAGUGGAAAAAGCCACUUUGGUCUGUCCCUGUUUUGGGCAAUGCAACGUAGCUUUGGGCUCCUGUGGCUCAGAAACUUCGUAUGUAUAAGGGAGCGGAGCCUCCAAAAAAGACCUAUGGGCUGCUGUUGACCAGCUGAGACCUCAGCUCCUCCAAAGUCAGAAGCUGGUACUGUCUUAAAGGGACACUGGCACUCCUAAAAUCCUUCCACCUUGCUUACUGCGUCAGAUAGGUUUAAGGGCAAUCUGUAUGUAACACUCAUCACAAGGCUUUGCCUGUAAAUCUGAGAUUCGGAAAAACUCAAAACAUCGUGCUCACCCCUUCUCCUUUAUUUUUACUUACAGCUUUUAAAGCAGAAGGAUACAUUUUUAGUAUUUUAUUGCCUGUCAAUGCUCUGCGCCUUGCCAGAAACGGAUAACGAUAAUUUUAAAUUAUUUAUGUGUUUAUUUUUAUGAGACAGUUUCACUCUGUCACCCAGGCUAGAGUGCAAUGGUAUGAUCACAGCUUACUGCAGCCUCCAACUUCUAGGCUCAAGGGGCCUACCUCAGCCUCCCAAGUAGCUGGGACUACAGACCACCACACCCGACUAAUUAUUUUUUGUAGAGACAGGUUCUCACUUUGUUGUCCAGGCUGGUCUUGAGCUCCUGGCCUCAAGUGAGCCUACCACCUCGGUCUCAAAAAGUGCUAUGACUACAGAGGAGAGUCACUGUGCCUGGCCUAAGGAUGCUUGAAUGUAAAUUCUGUUUCUCCAGUGAAGUUCAAGUUGGCAGUCUCAAUUCAUUCCUCCAUGUAAAGAUCUUCUGCUCACAACCCGGCAGCAGACAGCAGUUUUCUUUCCCUCGGAACACUGGAUUAGCAAGCUUGGACCUGCCCCUUCCAGCAGCCACACUCCUGGCUAGCUUGCUCUGUCUACAGGUAGCAUCACAUGUCAUGGCCUGUAGACCCGGCCUUUACCUCAGUGCAAAAUGCCAGGGCAUGUCCUCUGGUUGAGUUUAUCAUCGAGCAGUAAGGGCUCAGAGGGUGCUGAGAAAUGG
rnacentral:lncRNA from 1 species